UUGGUGGUGGUAAGCUAGUAGUGUAGCCACAGCUGCCCUCGGGCAAAUUGACGGAAGCGUGGCUGCCAUUCUGCACCUACGGCCCCUCCAACCACCACCUCAUUAAUCCACAUUUAUAAAUAAGC